UCCAUGGCUGGGCUCAAGGCUUUGAAAAAUCUAAGCUGAAAUUCCUUAUGGAAUAAAGUUCCAUUAAAGCCAAUUUUCAAAAAAGCCUAUAUGGCAAAUAAUUAUUCUUGCUGACUUUAUGCAAAUAUUCAUGCCAAGUAUGAUAAGACUAACACUUAUUUUGCAAGCAAAUUUGUUUUUAAUGCCCAACAUUAACCUUUGUUUUUCUUCUGUUUCCACAGAAAUGCCUCCUAUUAAAAGCUUGUUUGCUGUCAUCACAUACAGAAGCCUAGCCCAUCUGCACUGCCACUUCCUGAUAUGGUAAACAGCUAUUUAACUGAACUGAUCUAGUCUCAGGACUAGGAAACCAAUUAAAAAUAUAUGGGUUGGUAUAUUUAAAUUUGCCCUUUCCUGUCUAUCCUAAUCAGUCUUUCUAAUAACCUUUGACCCAAAUACCUCUCUGCUAGAGACCCCAUUUCUGAUUGAUUCUUCGUGCUAUUCACCUGGAUCCCUCAGAGCUUCAGAUCAGUUCUACGAAGGCUUCUGAAGCUAGGACUCUCACUCCUUACCCUAGA
rnacentral:lncRNA from 1 species